rnacentral:rRNA from 1 species
UUUUCCUACGGGGCGCAGCAGUGGGGGAUAUUGCACAAUGGGGGAAACCCUGAUGCAGCGACGCCGCGUGAGUGAAGAAGUAUUUCGGUAUGUAAAGCUCUAUCAGCAGGGAAGAAAAUGACAGUACCUGACCAAGAAGCCCCGGCUAACUACGUGCCAGCAGCCGCGGUAAUACGUAGGGGGCAAGCGUUAUCCGGAUUUGCUGGGUGUAAAGGGAGCGUAGACGGUUAUGUAAGUCUGGAGUGAAGGCCCGGGGCCCAACCCCGGGACUGCUUUGGAAACUGUGUAACUGG